rnacentral:rRNA from 1 species
GGUUUGGGAUCGGACAAUAUGGUAUCAGGUAGUUGGUGAGGUAACGGCUCACCAAGCCUUCGACGCCUAGCCGGACUGAGAGGUCGGCCGGCCACAUCGGGACUGAGACACUGCCCGGACUCCUACGGGGGGCUGCAGUAAUGAAUCUUCCACAAUGCACGAAAGUGUGAUGGAGCGACGCCGAGUGAAGGAGAAGUCCUUCGGGAUGUAAACUUCUAAAACCUGCUAGAAAGUUCUGAUCAGCAGGCUAUAAGUGGCGACUAACUCUGUGCCAGCAGUCGCGGUAAUACAGAGGCCACGAGCGUUAGGCGGAAUCACUGGGCUUAAAGCGUGUGUAGGCGGAUGUCUAAGUACCUUGUGAAAUCCCACAGCUCAACUGUGGAACUGCUUGGUAUACUGGAUAUCUUGAGGUGCUCAGGGGCGAGCGGAACAAACGGUGGAGCGGUGAAAUGCGUAGAUAUCGUUUGGAACGCCAAUGGUGAAGACAGCUCGCUGGGAGCAUUCUGACGCUGAGACACGAAAGCCAGGGGAUCAAAGGGGAUUAGAUACCCCCGUAGUCCUGGCCCUAAACGAUGUCCACUAGGCUGUGGCAGCUCUGACGCUGUCGCGGCCGAAGCAAAAGUGUUAA